rnacentral:misc_RNA from 1 species
CCAAUAGCGUAUAUUAAAGUUGUUGCAGUUAAAAAGCUCGUAGUUGAAUUUCGGGAUUGGCGCAUCGGUCGUGCCUUACGGGGUAUGAACUGGUGCAGUCAAUUUCUCACCUUCUGGAGAACCGCGAUGUCCUUAAUUGGGUGCCGCGGGGAACCAGGACCUUUACUUUGAAAAAAUUAGAGUGUUUAAAGCAGGCAUUUUUGCUUGAAUACAUUAGCAGGGAAUAAUAAAAUAGGACGGCAUGGUUCUAUUUUGUUGGUUUCUAGGACCACCGUAAUGAUUAAUAGGGAUAGUUGGGGGCAUUAGUAUUCAAUUGUCAGAGGUGAAAUUCUUGGAUUUAUUGAAGACUAACUACUGCGAAAGCAUUUGCCAAGGAUGUUUUCAUUAAUCAAGAACGAAAGUUAGGGGAUCGAAGACGAUCAGAUACCGUCGUAGUCUUAACCAUAAACUAUGCCGACUAGGAAUCAGACGAUGUUAAUUUUUUAAUGACUCGUUUGGCACCUUACG